rnacentral:rRNA from 1 species
GAACGCUGGCGGCGUGCCUAACACAUGCAAGUCGAGCGAUGAAGUUCCUUCGGGAACGGAUUAGCGGCGGACGGGUGAGUAACACGUGGGCAACCUGCCUUAUAGAGGGGAAUAGCCUUCCGAAAGGAAGAUUAAUACCGCAUAGGAUUGUAGCUUCGCAUGAAGUAGCAAUUAAAGGAGCAAUCCGCUAUAAGAUGGGCCCGCGGCGCAUUAGCUAGUUGGUGAGGUAACGGCUCACCAAGGCGACGAUGCGUAGCCGACCUGAGAGGGUGAUCGGCCACAUUGGGACUGAGACACGGCCCAGACUCCUACGGGAGGCAGCAGUGGGGAAUAUUGCACAAUGGGGGAAACCCUGAUGCAGCAACGCCGCGUGAGUGAUGACGGCCUUCGGGUUGUAAAGCUCUGUCUUUGGGGACGAUAAUGACGGUACCCAAGGAGGAAGCCACGGCUAACUACGUGCCAGCAGCCGCGGUAAUACGUAGGUGGCAAGCGUUGUCCGGAUU